UACGGGGGGGGCAAGCGUUGUUCGGAAUUACUGGGCGUAAAGGGCUCGUAGGCGGCCGACUCAGUCGGACGUGAAAUCCCUCGGCUUAACCGGGGAAUGGCGUCCGAUACUAGUCGGCUCGAGUGUGGGAGAGGGAUGCGGAAUUCCAGGUGUAGCGGUGAAAUGCGUAGAUAUCUGGAGGAACACCGGUGGCGAAGGCGGCAUCCUGGACUACUACUGACGCUGAGGAGCGAAAGCCAGGGGAGCAAACGGG
rnacentral:rRNA from 1 species